rnacentral:lncRNA from 1 species
AGGCACGAUCAAUGCAAGAGCUGGCUAGAAAGGACUUUGAAAAUUUGAGGCAAGAUAGUGAUGAAGGUGAACCACAAGUGAAAGUUGUGAGGAGAGGAAGGCCACCUGGAAAGAGUCUCAAAAAGUCAUUGGUUUCAUCGUCAUCUAUUGACCAUGUUGGUUCCGAGUGCUCCUCAGGUGCAACUCUAGCUGCUGGACGAGAUGCUUCCAUUCUUUCAAACACUUACAAUUUGAGGAAAGGACCUAAUUCCCUCAAGCUACGGCCUGCUGAUGCAUUCAUCAGGCCCUCCUGGGGUUCUCCUAGCAAAGAAAAUCAUGCCAUUUGUUCAUCUGAAUGGGAGAAUGAAUUUCCAGGUUUGGUAUUUAUCUGACUUUAUAUACAUAUCCUCAAGUCUUUAGCUUUUUUUAUGUAAAAUGUUAUUUACUACAUAUUUUCAAUAUUUCAUAUUGAGCUAUUUUUCUUUCGUUUUGUAGCUUCUGUUGUGAGGGCUGUGAUGAAGUAUGGGAUGAAACAUUUUGCAGUAGAUGAGAACAGGCGUGACACCUACAACCACUCAUCGACUUCUGGACAUGAGCAACGUACCUUUUCCACCUUGGAUGGAGAAUUGAAGCAACUAAUUCCGGUGUGUUUUAUGUUUGUAUAAUGGCAAUAACAGUUAUUAAUGCAUUAGUUAGAAGAUUAUUGUAUGAGCUGUAUAGCUGGAAUGUGUGAUCGACCCUAUACUCAUUGAGUGCAGGUAAGGAAUCCUAAACUUUUUGUUUAUUAAUAAACUGCAUACAAAGUUGUGGUGCAGGUAGGCUUGCGCUGGUAAUUUGUUAUGUUUAUAUAUCUAGCCAAAAGGAUGUUCAAGUAUUCUGACAACUAGUGUUUAUGAGGGAACAAUAAAAAACUAUCCAGAUCAGCGGCAGAAUAGAAUGCUCAAUCCCUUAUAUUGACUAAUUCUUUUUAUCUCCCUCGAUUUUAUUUUGGUCAAUUGUAUUGUUUAUCAGGUUGGUUUGACUGCAGGAAAUGGUAAGCCUUUUUUCCCCUUUCAUUGUCCAUCAGGUUGGUUUGAGUGCAGAAAAUGGUUAUGCUACAAGCUUGGCACGUUUUGCUGCAAAUCUUGGACCUGUUGUGUGGAAAAUUGCUUCAAGGAAAAUUGAAAGUGUUUUGCCUAGUGGACUCAAGUUUGGUCCUGGAUGGGUUGUAGAAAACAGGACAGUUGAGCAGCCACAAUGUUCCUUAUCUGAUAAGCAUAGAACUCCGAAUUCUCUAUCUGAUAACCCUCCUGGCAGAUUUUUAUCUACAGCCACUUCUGGUUCAAACUCCAUUGCUGCAAGUAGAUUUCCUUUGCAAGGUAGAGAAGACAUGGAAGCUGUCGUAGGCCUAACUUCUCAAAAUGACUCGACUUCUGCACCUUCUCAUCAGCUUCAGCAAAGUCUUGUCCCACACUCGGGUAUCAAUGGUUCUAUUGGUGGGUUUGGGUUUGGUUAUUACUCUCAAAUGGGGUUGGUAACACAUUGUGUAAAUUCCUUGUCUGAAAAGACUUCAGUGCCGACUCAAACACAUGUCAUGGUUUCGGGUGCUAGUAAUUCUCUUCCAAAAGAGGCCAAGCUGGCAGAUAGUUCAAUCACUUUACAUUCUGGAAAUGCAAUGGCUGUGGAGCCUGAAAUGGUGUCACAUGCGGCAGCAACUAAUGUCGGGCUUCAGCGGAGUUCCUAUAAUGAACCGAAUUUCCUUCCAUUUGCUCCUGAUCUUAAUGUGAGAUUUCUGGCACUGGGUUCACCUAGUUCUAGUGUGCCAAUUGGUUCUUCCCAGCGCCCUGAUUUAGCAUUGCAGCUCUAAUAAUUAGCCAACACGAUUUCCGUAUGAUGUGGCUUGUAUGUGCUAAUUGUAGUAUUAGGUCAAGUACGCCUGUAUAUGAUAAUAAGAUUUGGUCGAAUUUACUGACUACAUUCUUCAUUGGAAGGUCGGUUGAGUAGUGGUUCCUCAAGAAGUCAUAGGAUCAUAUUGUCGGUGAGAUUUUGUACAGAUUGGUAUGUCAAAUUCUUUCACAGGGUUAAAAAAUUACAGAUUUGUAUGCAACAUACGGUAUCUAACAUUGUAUAUUUUGAGUUGUUAAUGAAUAUUGUUACCAAUACUACUACUGGUAUUACGUACGAGAUAUCAUUCAUGUCAUGAAUUAUGAAAUGUUCAUGUUUGUAGCAAUGAAGUAAUGCUUAAACUAAUUGAUGCAAAAUAGAGAGCAACUGAUUGCUAAGGGGGGUUGAGUGAUGUUAUAUAAAUUUCAAUUAUAUAUACUUGUGCAUAUAUAAUUAUCUUUAUGUGCAUAUAAAAUUGUCUUUAAAAUUGUGUCCCAUUAUCUAUUAUUAACCAUUGGGAAAACUAUAUCAACAAAUGAUGGUUUUCCAUACAAAUAUCACCAUGUGUCUUUGAUGCCUUUGGAAAUUAGAUCCGUAUAGGAUUACCUGUGUUGGUUUGUGAUAGGACAUGAUAGAGUCCAUGUGUCGCAUGAUUAGCGAAGUAUUCUAGCAAAUUAUAGUCCUUUGACGAGAUACAGAAAGUAUGACUUGGUAUCUUGAUGGACAAGAUGUGAGCCAUGCGAGGUACACUUAUGUCUGAGGUCUAACCAACUCCAACAUUACAUAUAACAUAUAAUUUAUUUAUGUAAUUCGUAUAACACAAAAUAUUAAAUAUUUGUAACAAUUUCUCUGAUUACAUAAAUAUUAUUAAUGUUGUAAUAAUUUGUGUAAUUAAAUAAUAUUUUAUAAGAUUACACUAAAUACUUUAAAAUUAUAAUAUUUUAAUUACAAAAUAUUUUGGAAAGCUCAUCCUCUUAUUUUGUGCUCAAGGUAAAAGUAAAGUAAUAGUUUAAUAGUAUAAUGAUUUAUUUGGCUCUCUAAUUUUAUAAAAAAGUUAUUUUAGUUAAUUUUUUUAUUUUUUUUGUCUUUUGUACAUGUUGAACUUUUAUUUUUUUAAAUUAUCCAAAAAUAGAUGAAAAAAUUAAUGUUAUUUAAUAUUACUGAUCUGGUAUAUACAUAGAUUGUCAUAUAGAUGAGAUGUUAGCAUUUAAUUAAAUUUUUAAAAAAUUUAAAAAGUAUUUUUUAUAAAAAAAUUAAAAAUCAUUAAAAUUUUUAAAACUUAAAAUAAUUAAUUGAAUACUGGUGUGUUAUCCACGUGAUGCUCUACAUGCAUGUAAUGUUAACAAAAUAAAAAAAAACAAUUUUUUCAUCUAUUUUAAAGUGAUUUAAUAAAAAAAUAUAAAUUUAAAGACAAAAAAAAAUAUCAAAAACUAAAAUAACCUUUUUAUAAAAUUAGAGGGUAAAUAAAUAUUAUACCUAAAUUGAUUUACCACAAAAGAGGUGCAACGCUGCAAAUCAAUGCAACUUAGUUUCACGUGAGUGCUGGGCACGCGGACAUCCUUCUAUUUCACGUGACUUUCCCUCCACGCUGGCAUCUGUUCCCCCCUCUCUUCUCCCAAUGUUCCUUCAUAUUAAAAACAUAAUAAAAAAGUAAAUAAUAUAAAAUAAAUAAAUCAAACAGAAAUCAAAAGAUUGUUUAGAUAGCAAAAAAAGAAGAAAAAAAAAAAACGAAAAGGAAAAAGCAAUGGGAGGUGGUGGUGGUGGUGAGAUAGCAGCGGAGACAAGGAAGAAGAGGAAGAAGGGAAGGCCCUCUCUCUUAGAACUUCAAAAACGCUCUCUCAAACAACAACAACUGCAGGAGCCGCAGCAACCGCAAUUGCUUCUUCAAAAAACCCCUAAUUCUUCUAUCAAUUCGAACCGCCGAUCCACUCGCCGCCACCCAAAUCUCAACGGUGGGUCCCCAGUUUCCGGAUCGAUUUCCGGAGGAGAAGACGACGACGACGACGACCGCCUACAGAAGAAGCAUAAACCAUUGCUUGGUUUCAAUUCUUCUCGUACUGAUCAGCAUUAUCCGAUUCCUUCGGCGCUCAAUUCGGCCUCCUAUGGGUCCGAUUCGAAUGCCGAUGGUGACAAUCCCGACGCGUCACUCAAGCGUCGCAAGUUUACCGCCGCCAAGGCUGGAUCUGAUCAAAUGGUGAUAAAUCAUACAUUAAUAUAUAGAUUUCGCGGGUUUUUUAAAGUCCUGGUUUUGAAACAGAAUCAAGAAAUUGAUUUUCCUACUUUAUUUGGAUAUUUUAUUUUAGGGUUUUAUUUUGGGAAUCGAAAAUAGCUUCUCAUGCGCCGAAAUUUUAUAAUUGCAACAGAGAUGAACGAAUGAGUUUGACUAAGUCAUGUACCUUUUUUUUAUUGGAUAUUGUUUCAACUUUUUGAUUUUCGGCUAAACUUCAAGUUGUUUUGAACAUAGUUUGUCUUCCUUUUCUUUCCCGAUUUACGAAUUUUCCAUUAUUAUUUUAUUAUUUCUUGUCUUGGAUUUAAUCCUUCCUUUAUUUUUGUGCAAAAUAAUAGAUGCACAGACCAUCAUGUCUGUAAAGCUUCAGUUUGUCUUUUCUUUUCUUUAAUAAUAAUACUUCAAAGUUUUUGUUUUUGUUUUUUUUUUUUGGUACUUGCUUUGCAUUGUUGUAGCUUUUUACUGUAACUUUCCUCAGUGAUUCUUCAAUAAUCAACGCAAGUAUCUCUUUUAAUAGUUUUUUUUUCAUUUAAUUUGGGAGUUAAAUAAAUAUAUGUAUUGACACGAGAGUUUAUCUUAUUUACAGGGAGAAAAGUUAUCGAAAGUGACGGACACUCUUCAUGGUAUAAGUCUAUCUCGGUUUUCAUGAAAAAAAGGCAUUUCUGGGAAUUCUUAGAAAAAAAGAAGUGUUGGGCUUUGUUAACUAUAUUAAUUUUAUUUCAUUUAUAUGUGGACAGGUUCACCGGUGGAGUCUGGCCCCACCCCCACGACGCCUUUGCCAGACAAAAAGUUGUUGGUGUUCAUUCUUGACAGGCUUCAAAAGUAUUUGUUAUUUUUGGCUCAUUUGAUUUUUUUUUUCUUAGUUUAUCUUCCGUUUGACGGGUUUUUAUCCUUUUUACUUAAUCUACUUCCAGGAAAGAUACUUAUGGGGUAUUCUCUGAGCCAGUAGAUCCUGAAGAGGUGCAUUUUGUUUUUCAUUCUUGCAUAAAUCUAGAUUACUGAAAAGUGAAAUCACGGUUCCUGAUAUAAUGUUUGAUUGGUCUUGAUACAGCUUCCAGAUUACCAUGAUAUUAUUGCACACCCAAUGGACUUUUCGACAGUCAGGAAAAAACUUGAUGAGGGAGCUUAUAUUACCUUAGAACAAUUUGAGGUUUGUUUUGCAAGCAUUCUCUUUGCUAAUGUGGAUAAAAUGUUCGUCUAUCCGUCUUCCUCCUGACAUAGUGGAGAGGGAAAGCCAACUAAGUUGUUUGACUGCAUUACUGUCAAUGGUGAUUAAGUUUCUGAUGUUAUUUUCUGGAUUUCUCUGGUUGAUGUGUGUUUUUGUAGCAAUUGUGUAUGGCAAGUCAAGUGUGUGUUGUCAGUCAAGCAAGUCCUUGAAGAAUACUGGAGGCAUGCUAUGCCUUUUGAGAUUACUGUAGUAAAGAUGUUGGCUAUGAUGUUUAAGUACUUCAUUAAGUUCACUUGUUUGGGAUAGCAUUUUGGCCUCUUAUGCCUGGAAGAUUCUUUAAUUUGGUUUGAGAAGAUAAUUACUUGCCUUUGUUUUUUACUGUUCGUAUGAUAUAUAAUUUAUUUGGUACUGCCAAUGGUUUGCCUAUGAUUUGUGGAAUUUGAUUGCAAAACUUGUUUUGUUUAGCAUGGGAUCUUACAGUGUUACUCUUUCCUAGCAGAUAACUAUAUAUGCUGUAAGUUGCUUUUUGUGGUUAACUGAGAAGAUGAAAAUCCUAAUGAAAUGAUUUUCAUGUCAGUAUAAAUGCCCUGGACCAGUGGGGAUAGUCUUUAGAUGCUACAAACAUGUAGUAAUCAAAACUUAGAUUUAGGGGAUAUAGUUUUUCUGGAAUGAUACUUGAUGUAUAACUGAAAAUUUGUGAGUUUGAUUCAUGCAGAUUGAUGUUUUCCUAAUAUGCUCGAAUGCAAUGCAGUAUAAUGCACCAGAUACAAUUUACUUUCGACAGGUUUGUCUAGGUCUCAAUUGUAUUAAUUCCUUUGUCAUGAUACUGUGGUCUCUGUUAUUUUAAACGUCUGGAUUGGAUGGUUAGGCACGAUCAAUGCAGGAGUUGGCUAGAAAGGACUUUGAGAAUUUGAGGCAAGAUAGUGAUGAAGGUGAACCACAAGUGAAAGUUGUGAGGAGAGGAAGGCCACCUGGAAAGAGCCUCAAAAAGUCAUUGGUUUCAUCGUCAUCUAUUGACCAUGUUGGUUCUGAGUACUCCUCAGAUGCAGCACUAGCUGCUGGACGAGAUGCUUCUAGCCUUUCAAACACUUACAAUUUGAGGAAAGCACCUAAUUCCCUCA